AGGCUCUUGGACUCUCCUUCCUCCAGAGACAGGAAUGCGCUCCCCACAUUGCUGUUCAUCGUGAAUGACCGAGUCUGUAGUUUUCAGUUGCAGCGACAGAUGAUGACUAAGGCAGGCUGUCGCCAAGUAGCAGAGUUCCUUGGAAGAACUUUUAAAACCUCUCAGAGUAUUCCCUCAAGGAGCGUGAGACCCAGGAGGGGGAGAACAACUUUCUGUGGAAUCUCUGCUCUUUCUUCAGAGGCAGCAUGUGCUAAACGGACAAUGCUUGGGACUUAGCAUAAGCUCAACAAAUGCUUACUGAGUGAGUGGGUGAGUGAGUGACUGGAAGGGGAAGCCACGUCCAUCAGUGGGAAAUGGAUACACGGUGUGGAACCGAAGAUGUUGCCCGCAGCUGGGCUCCAGUUCCCUGCUACUGCUCCUGGAGCCUCAACGGAUGAUAGCCCAAAUGCUUGGGUCCCUGAUGUCCACGUGGGAGACCUCAGUGGAUUUCCUGGCUCCUGACUUCAGCCUUGGCCAGCCCUUGACCAGCUCCAGCCAUUGUUGCCUUUUGGAGAGUGAACCAGCACAUCUCCCUGCUGUGGCCUAGGAAAGCAGUAGAAGAUGGCCCAAGUCCUUGGGCCCCUGCACCCACAUGAGAGACCCAGAAGAAGCUCCUGGCUCUUGGCUUUGGUUCAGCACAGCUCCAGCUGUUGUGGUCAUCUGGGGAUUGAACCAACAGAUGGAAGACCUCUCUCUCUCUCUGCCUCUCCUUCUCUCUGUGUGUAACUCUGACUUUCAAAUAAAUAAAUCUUAAAGAAAAAAUUUACCCAUGCUGGAAUGAACUGGAAAGUGGAAAAAUCUCUGUUUCUCUCCAUCUUCCCUCUCAUUCUCUCUCCCUCAUCUUUCUCUUUAUCUUCCCUUCAAAUAAAU